rnacentral:rRNA from 1 species
UACGGGGGGGGCAAGCGUUGUUCGGAAUUACUGGGCGUAAAGGGCUCGUAGGCGGCCAACUAAGUCAGACGUGAAAUCCCUCGGCUUAACCGGGGAACUGCGUCUGAUACUGGAUGGCUUGAGUUUGGGAGAGGGAUGCGGAAUUCCAGGUGUAGCGGUGAAAUGCGUAGAUAUCUGGAGGAACACCGGUGGCGAAGGCGGUUCUCUGGGCCUUACCUGACGCUGAGGAGCGAAAGCGUGGGGAGCGAACAGG